GGGACUCCAAGCUCUACCAGACCUGCCUGAAGUGUUUUAAAGCACAUUUUCUUUUUGAAAAGAAACCUGUUGCUGCAGCUUAGCGCAUCUGUUCUCUGUGUCCAUGUGGGAGGAGAAUCCUGGCACCCUCAUCUAGUGAAAUGUUACCUAAAGCAAAGAUUUGCAGCCCUGGGUUGUUUUUUCCGUCCUGCAGUGUUUUUAGUUACUUCGAAGGAAUUUGCAAAACUGUUACAGAUAAUUUCAGUUCUUUUUGAUUUUUUGUAAAUGUUGUGCCUAUUUUUUAUGGAGUGAUAAAGCCUGCUGAGUGCGUUUCGUGCUGUGUGCUUCACAUGUAUUGCAUUUGGGAAAGGUUGGAAAUCAAAGGCCAGGGGGAAGUCUUGUCCACUGGAAAUAAUCUCUGCUCUUGGCUGUACCUGUCAGACCCUGCUUGGUAAUGGUCUUGACUUUAGAGCUUGAAAGAGGAUGUGGGCUUGCAUCUGGUGUUGCAGUUUUAGUGGCCUCAAUAAAGUAAGGCUUUGUGCUCGAAGGCAGUAGGUUUUCUGAGGUGAGAUAAAAAUAGAAAGGGAACCAGUUUCUGAGGUUGCAACCAGGAGGUUCGAGAACAGAGAGGGGGUGGUAAACUGAAGUGUGAAGAAGGGGGUGGACAGGUGAGAGAGAUGUGGAAGGACAGAAUGGGGUCACAGAAAGGAUGGGGUGUAGAGGAACUAAGAAAUAGAAUUAGAAGAUCGGAAAAAUAUUCUUCCCUUAAAAAUGAAGGGAU
rnacentral:lncRNA from 1 species